UACGGGGGGAGCAAGCGUUGUUCGGAUUUACUGGGCGUAAAGCGUGCGCAGGCGGUUCGUUAAGUCAGAUGUGAAAGCCCCCGGGCUCAACCUGGGAACUGCAUUUGAAACUGGCGGGCUUGAGUGCCGGAGAGGGUGGCGGAAUUCCCCAAGUAGAGGUGAAAUUCGUAGAUAUGGGGAGGAACACCGGUGGCGAAGGCGGCUUCCUGGACCGACAUGACACUGAGGCGCGAAAGCCAGGGGAGCAAACGGG
rnacentral:rRNA from 1 species